AUUGAACGCUGGCGGCAUGCUUUACACAUGCGAGUCGAACGGUAACAGGCCGCAAGGUGCUGACGAGCGGCGAACGGGUGAGUAAUGCAUCGGAACGUGCCCAGUCGUGGGGGAUAACGCAGCGAAAGCUGCGCUAAUACCGCAUACGAUCUAUGGAUGAAAGCGGGGAACCGUAAGGCCUCGCGCGAUUGGAGCGGCCGAUGUCAGAUUAGGUAGUUGGUGGGGUAAAGGCUCACCAAGCCAACGAUCUGUAGCUGGUCUGAGAGGACGGCCAGCCACACUGGGACUGAGACACGGCCCAGACUCCUACGGGAGGCAGCAGUGGGGAAUUUUGGACAAUGGGCGCAAGCCUGAUCCAGCAAUGCCGCGUGCAGGAAGAAGGCCUUCGGGUUGUAAACUGCUUUUGUACGGAACGAAACGGUCCUGGUUAAUACCUGGGGCUAAUGACGGUACCGUAAGAAUAAGCACCGGCUAACUACGUGCCAGCAGCCGCCGCCGUAA
rnacentral:rRNA from 1 species